GUUGUAGCUCAGUGGUAGAGGGCUUGCCUAGCAUGUGGGAGGCACUGGGUUUGAUUCUCAGCACCACA
rnacentral:tRNA from 1 species